rnacentral:rRNA from 1 species
GGGUCAGUAGGUUGGUCGUGCCACCGGUACGUACUGGUCUCACUGAUUCCUCCUUCCUGAAGAACCGUAAUGCCAUUAAUUUGGUGUUGCGGGGAAACAGGACUGUUACUUUGAAAAAAUUAGAGUGAUUAAAGCAAGCUAACGCUUGAAUACAUUAGCAUGGAAUAAUGAAAUAGGACGAUCGAUCCUAUUUUGUUGGUUUCCAGGAUUGACGUA